rnacentral:rRNA from 1 species
GACGAACGCUGGCGGCGUGCCUAAUACAUGCAAGUCGAACGCACUCUCGUUUAGAUUGACGGAGUUUGCUCCUGAUUGAUAAACAUUUGAGUGAGUGGCGGACGGGUGAGUAACACGUGGGUAACCUGCCCUAAAGUGGGGGAUAACAUUUGGAAACAGAUGCUAAUACCGCAUAAAACCUAACACCGCAUGGUGUAGGGUUGAAAGAUGGUUUCGGCUAUCACUUUAGGAUGGACCCGCAGUGCAUUAGUUAGUUGGUGAGGUAAAGGCUCACCAAGACCGUGAUGCAUAGCCGACCUGAGAGGGUAAUCGGCCACACUGGGACUGAGACACGGCCCAGACUCCUACGGGAGGCAGCAGUAGGGAAUCUUCCACAAUGGACGAAAGUCUGAUGGAGCAACGCCGCGUGAGUGAAGAAGGUUUUCGGAUCGUAAAACUCUGUUGUUGGAGAAGAAUGUAUCUGAUAGUAACUGAUCAGGUAGUGACGGUAUCCAACCAGAAAGCCACGGCUAACUACGUG